AAGCGUCCGAUGUACUUGAACCGCCCGA
rnacentral:sRNA from 1 species